CUUUCUUUUAGAUAGCCUUUUCUCUUUCUGCCUCCUUUUUGUAUUUUGUUUUUCUUUUUCCAGGUUACAGGUGCUGCUGCUGUCCACUCUGUGGAUUAUUGACCUAUUCUUUUACACAUUCUUUCUCUUUCUUUGAACCUGAAUUUUUUUCCUGACUAGGCAUAUAUCUUCAAUAAUUAUUUAGAUCCUACUAAGCCUACCCUAAGGGAGGAACAGGAAGAAGGGACCUCAGGAUUAUUUGUCUCCUCUGACUUCCCUCUUUCCUUUAGAUCAGGUACUUAAUAGGACUUAUUGGCUAAGUUCAGGUGUGACCAAUUAUGAAAGAAAUGAUACUCAAAGCCAUAUAUGUAAUUCUUUGAAAGCUUUCAUUAUUCAUUAAGGCCAAUAUGUUGUUAUUAUAAUCAUUAAAAAAAAAAGGAAAUCAGACCUAACCAGUUUGGCUCAGUGGAUAGAGCGUUGGCCUGCGGACUGAAGGGUCCCAGGUUCGAUUCCGGUCAAGGCAUGUACCUUGGUUGCGGGCACAUCCCCAGUGAGGGUAUGCAGGAGGCAGCUGAUCGAUGUUUCUCUCUCAUCGAUGUUUCUAACUCUGUAUCCCUCUCCCUUCCUCUCUGUAAAAAUCAAUAAAAUAUAUUAAGAAAAAAAGGAAAUCACAUGAGUGAUGAAAACUUUGGUGGUGCAUGAUCUGUUUAACUGUGGGUAGAGUGUGUAGUAAUGGAAGAGUCACCUUCUGACAUUUUUAUUGGGUGUCUAGAAUGUAUAUUUUUCACAUUGAAUGCAAGCCUGGAGAAAGAUCCUGAGAAGCUCUCCCAACCCUAUGUGUUAGAAUACUCUGGAAGCAGUAUAGGGAAUUCAUUCAUUCAUUCAUCCACUCAAAAAACAUUUUAUACCAUUAUGUGUCAGACAUUAUUCUAGAAGUUGGAGAUAAAGCAGUAAACGGAACAGAACAAGUCUCUGCCCUCAUGGAGCUUACAAUUUAGUGGAAUACACAGGAUAACAAGUAGACAAAUAUAAAUGAGAAAUAAAACAGAGUAAGGAUACAGAGAAUGACUGGUGAGGAGGUAGGACGCUGUUUUAAAUACAUUGGUCAAGGAAAAGCCUCCCUGAAGUGAUAUUUGAAACCUUAGUGAAAUGAUGAGGGAGCGCUCGCUCCCAAGGUCUGGAAGAAUGUGGGAAGAGCAAGAAGGCCAACGUGGCUAGCAGUGAAGGUCUCAGUGGAGAGGGGAGGAGAUAAAGUAGGAACAUAGGCAGGAACCGUAUUAUACUCUGCUUUGUAAGACAUAUGAAGAAUGAUGGAAAUGUUCUAAAGGUGUAUUCCGGUGAUGGUUGCACAAGUCUAUAAACUCAGUAAAAAUUUUGAAUUGUAUGCUUAAAAGCAGUGAAUUUGAUGGUAUGAAAAUUAUAUCUCAAAGCUUUUUUUAAAAAAAUUAUUCUUGAAUGGCAAUAUCAUUGGAAUACCUUUCAGAAGCAAAUGCAACACAACCACACUCCCUCAACCCAGUCUGUAAGAGAUUGUCAGGAAAAUCAAUAUUGAUUAGGAUAAAUAGAGACUAUUAGAGGAGAGCAGAUAGGAUAGUACCUUGCAAGCAUUAAGGAAAUAUAAUUGUCAACAUGGAAUUAUGUACCUAGCUAAGAGAGAGGGCAAAUACAGAGAUUU